AACGAACGCUGGCGGCAGGCUUAACACAUGCAAGUCGAACGCAUCCUUCGGGGUGAGUGGCAGACGGGUGAGUAACGCGUGGGAACGUGCCCUUCAGUUCGGGAUAACCCAGGGAAACUUGGGCUAAUACCGGAUACGUGCGAGAGCAGAAAGAUUUAUCGCUGAAGGAUCGGCCCGCGUCUGAUUAGCUAAUUGGUGGGGUAAUGGCCCACCAAGGCGACGAUCAGUAGCUGGUCUGAGAGGAUGAUCAGCCACAUUGGGACUGAGACACGGCCCAAACUCCUACGGGAGGCAGCAGUGGGGAAUAUUGGACAAUGGGCGCAAGCCUGAUCCAGCCAUGCCGCGUGAGUGAUGAAGGCCUUAGGGCUGUAAAGCUCUUUCGUCCGGGACGAUAAUGACGGUACCGGAAGAAGAAGCCCCGGCUAACUUCGUGCCAGCCGCCGCAGUAA
rnacentral:rRNA from 1 species